rnacentral:ncRNA from 1 species
ACUCUGGCUAAUUGUUUUCUUUACGAUGAAAGUGCAUGUAAAUUCGAGUGAGACAAGGCUUAAUAGCCUAGAGGGCUUAGCAUAUAGUUAAUAAAAGUUGAUUACAAUUAUUAAAAUCUCAGCAUAUAAUAUUAGGUUAUUAGCUUGAGCUAGAACUAGAAAAUCGUAUAAAACCUGGCUAAAAUUGUGCCAGCCGCCGCGGUUAUACUGUGAGGUUAAGUAAACAAAUUUUGGUUAAAAUAAGUUAUUAUGCUGUUAUCGCUGUAAAAAUAAGAUAUUAGCUAUAAGUGAAAUAAACAAUUAAAAUAUUAUGUUUAUUAAAGAUAAUGUAUAAGAGGCUUAAAAGUUUAAGAUAUAAACCAGGAUUAGAUACCCUGCUAUACUUAAGUUAAAUAAAAUUACCCGGGUAGUACAUAGUUAUACUCUCGAAACCCAAAGAGUUUGGCGGUAUCUCAGCCUAGUUAGAGGAGCUUGUUCCGUAAUCGAUAACCCGCGAAAAAUCUUACGCAUUAUGGUAGACAGUUUAUAUACCGUCGUUGUUAGAUAAUGCUAAAAGGCAAAUAAUUAUCUAAAUAUAAUAAAAUAUAAUAUAUCAGAUCAAGGUGUAACUUAUGAGUGCGAGUUGAAUGAGCUACAAUUUAAAAUGAUAAAUACGAAAGUUGGCUUUAAACCAGUCAGCGGAAGGUGGAUUUAAUGGUAAUCUCAGUUUUAGCAGGCUGUUGUGAUAUAAGCUCUGAGAUAUGUACACAUCGCCCGUCGCUCUCACUACAAAGUGAGAUAAGUCGUAACAUAGUAGGGGUACUGGAAAGUGUUCCUAGAAUG